UGCAUUUUGUUGUUAUUAUUACUUUAAGGUUAAUCUGGUUAUCAACUUCGAUCUCUCCUGUAAAAUAUGAGACAUGGGAACCUGAUUAUGAAGUCUACCUGCAUAGGAUUGGUAGAGCUGGACGUUUUGGUCGCAGGGUGCUGUAUUCAACUUAUUAUGUACUGACAGGGAUAGAUUACUGAUGAGAAGAUUGAGCGUCACUUCAACCACUACAUUCCUGAGGUGCCAACUGGAGGAGUGAAGAGGACUUCGAAUCUGCACUGAAGGAUGCGGGUUUGCUAUGGUUUCUUCAGCUAUAGACAGGAAGAUUUCUGGGAUGAUGCGUCCUGCCACAUGGUUACACUACAGUUUAGGGACUGUGCCGUGGUGUUUGUAAAGCACUACUAGCAGUGGAUUUGUAACUUAAUAUGUUGAAUUUGAUUUGUAGUUUUGCUACAGCUUUUCUUGCAUCAGGGGUGGGGGUUUCUGUUGAUAUUCCUGGGAAGUGAGAAAUCAGUCUCGACAAUUUCAAACCUGAAACUAGCUUCCUGGAAAAAACUCAAAAUGAACAUUGUUGGGUGGUUAUUGGAAACUAAAAAAGGCAAGAUAAAUGAGCUUUGGUCCUU